rnacentral:misc_RNA from 1 species
GUUUGGGGGGGUGCUGUGUGUGUUUCUUUUCUGUGUCUCAUUGAUGUAAAAGAGAGACAGAUGAUGAAAGAGUGGUGUACUAGUGUUUAAGGGAAUGCCUUACUUGAUAUCUACUGAUUAGAUUCAAACAUUUACAUGUUAAGUUCAAAUGUGAGCACUCCUUUGAACCUUUCAUGAUGUGAUGACAUUUCCCUGCAAAGUUAAAGAGCAGAGAAAGUCAGAAUAAAACCUGGACUAAUCUUAAUUAUAUUGUUCAAAUUUUAUAUGAAAUGACAAUUUGGCUGAGUUGAGUUUUUAAUGUAAUUGUUUAAGAAGGGAAAAUAAGGAAAGUACCCUAGCUGCAAAUACAAAUAAUUUAUGGCCAUGGAGUACACAUUUUAAUGGAAUUCUCUGCGGAAUAUCUAGCUGAAAGGAUCAUGAGAAAUGGAACUUCAAACCAUGCUUUUCUCGUAUUUGUCUCAUCUGUUUCCUCAUUCCUGGAUCCAGUCAUGCAUGAUAUAUGCGCAUUCAUACGUGCAUAUGUCUUCUAAGAUGCAAGUAUUUUUUUCCACCUUGCAUGGCAGAGUUCAAGACCUGCCUUUUGGAAACUCACUCCUUAAUGAAAGUGCUAGUCGCCACUUAACUGAAUGGAAUAAACAUUAUCUUUUUCUUCUAACUUUUUCAGGUUCAGCUUAGUUCUUAUUUACAGUGAUUUUGUAAGGAGAUAUUUGUUCUUUUUUGUGAAGAUAGCGUGCCAUAAGAUGCUAUGAUUUAUUGCAGUACAGGAUGGCUAUUUAA